rnacentral:rRNA from 1 species
UGCCAGACCCUACGGGAGGCAGCAGUGGGGAAUAUUGCACAAUGGGGGAAACCCUGAUGCAGCAACGCCGCGUGAGUGAAGAAGUCAUUCGUGAUGUAAAGCUCUAUCAGCAGGGAAGAAAAUGACGGUACCUGACUAAGAAGCCCCGGCUAACUACGUGCCAGCAGCCGCGGUAAUACGUAGGGGGCAAGCGUUAUCCGGAUUUACUGGGUGUAAAGGGAGCGUAGACGGAUAAGCAAGUCUGAUGUGAAAAUCCGGGGCCCAACCCCGGAAUUGCAUUGGAAACUGCAUAUCUAGAGUGUCGGAGAGGCAAGUGGAAUUCCUGGUGUAGCGGUGAAAUGCGUAGAUAUCAGGAGGAACACCGGUGGCGAAGGCGGCCUGCUGGACUGCAACUGACGUUGAGGCCCGAAAGCGUGGGGAGCAAACAGGAUUAGAUACCCUUGUA